rnacentral:rRNA from 1 species
CGUGGGUGGAUCUGCACCUGCACUUCGGGAUAAGCUUGGGAAACUGGGUCUAAUACCGGAUAGGAACCAUCUUUAGUGUGGUGGUUGGAAAGUUUUUUCGGUGUAGGAUGAGCUCGCGGCCUAUCAGCUUGUUGGUGGGGUAAUGGCCUACCAAGGCGGCGACGGGUAGCCGGCCUGAGAGGGUGUACGGCCACAUUGGGACUGAGAUACGGCCCAG